rnacentral:lncRNA from 1 species
GGUUACCUUGCGGUUUUCUGAGCAGGUGGUUUGUUCCACCUUUUUCUACACAUGAUCUCCACGUCUACGGUUACAGACGGUUUUCACACUUCCUUCCGAAUCCCACUCCCACGUUCUGCCUCUACACUUCUUUAUAUAUCACUUUGCAAUCCCGAUUGGAACUCCUCUCACUCUAAUCAUAGAUAACCCUAACCAUCACCACUGACAAUCAUCGCACAACCACCACCGCAACGAGGGGAACGGGCCGGCAACCAUCACACCACCACUCCGAUGACGGCCGCACUAGCGGCGAACUAUCAGCACUCGAUUGUCACAUCACUCCUCUCUGCGAUCGUUUUCAAUCGGAAGGUUUAAUGACGGAUUGUUAUCGAAUGUAAUCGUGAUGGCUAAUACUGUUUGUUGAAAUUAAGGAAGCACUUGAGUUGCUAGAGGAACUGGAUGAAGCAUUGGGACUGCAAAAACUUGUGGAAGCAUUGCAAGUUAGGAUCACUAGGUUUACAUUUGAAGGAAAAUCACAAGAGUUCUAUGGAGGCUGCAAGAAGUUCUAAGUAUUAAGGCGAGGCAAUUAGCGGCUUCUAGUCUCUGGUGUCUCCUUUUUCAAUUGGAUUUUAAAGUAAUUGACAGUGAUGCUUCCGAUUUAAAUCAUAAUUGUGCAGUUCUGAUAAGAGUAAAUUUCAUUUGUGCUGCAAGGUAAUGGAAAUAUGAUAAAAUUGUUACCUGUUGGUUAUAUGAGUCAACGUCAUAGUCAAAGCUCCUACUCCUCUCAUGAUUUCCCUAACUCAAAAGGAGAAGGUGUCAUGGGUUUCCAAUGAAGGUGGUUAGCUUGGUAUUUCACAUUUUCACUCAUUCCAUGAAGAGCUUUGUUAACCCAGUCAAUUUGUUGUUGCUUGCAGUUAAAAGGGAUGUAUCGAAUGGUAAAGACAACUGAUCGGGCACCGGCUUCUUCAGUUAACUAGGGCAGUUUAUCUUUACGAAAACUCUUCAUCCGGGGAUAAUUCUGAUGAUAUGCUAUCUGACAUUCGUAACCCAAGAACCAAAGAACGAUCAGCUGAAAAAUAGAGGAAGGUCUAGAGUUUACCAGGAGAAAUAUUAUCAGUAUAGUCUAUGGAGCAAUUCUUCAAGGUGAAAACUUUGUUUUAUUUGUUUAUACUUUUGUUUUCAUUUUAAGAUACUUGACGAAACAUUUUUUUAUAAAAUAAAUGGUACAUAGUAAACUCCACAAGCUAAACCUCUUCCCCUCACCCACAAAAAAAAAAAAAAAAAAAAAAAAAAAAAACUUUU